UACGUAGGGUGCAAGCGCUGUCCGGAAUUAUUGGGCGUAAAGAGCUCGUAGGCGGCCUGUCGCGUCGGAUGUGAAAAUCCAAGGCUCAACCUUGGACCUGCAUUCGAUACGGGCAGGCUAGAGUUCGGUAGGGGAGACUGGAAUUCCUGGUGUAGCGGUGAAAUGCGCAGAUAUCAGGAAGAACACCGGUGGCGAAGGCGGCUCUCUGGGCCCUACCUGACGCUGAGACGCGAAAGCGUGGGGAGCGAACCGG
rnacentral:rRNA from 1 species